UACUUCCCGGGACUGUGGCUUCCAAAAACCCUAGCAGAAUGGCUUUUUCACAUGCUGCAAACAUUGGCUCAAACCUUGCCUACAUAAGAGCAGCGUAGGUGAUGCCAAGUCACUUCUCUGAACCAUCCCAGAGCUCCACACGGAAGAUGGAGCAGGGGCUGAGUGAAGAGAUCUUCUUCUCUACCUCCUUGAAGGUGCCCCACACUGCCAACAGAGUCCAGCGCUGGCUCAGGGAAGAGGAAUGAGACCUGCAUGCUGUGGACCAACCAGGUCAACUCACUAGAGACACAAAUCGAACACCUCUUGCCCAUCCUCCUAGGAAGAGAUCUAAGCUACGUCCACAUGUUCCUGGGAGCAUAUAGAGUCUUUGCCACCACCCAAGAUGUGUUAGACCUCUUGUUUGCCAAAGAAUUCUGGACCACCAAAAAGAAAACAAAAACAAAACCUCCUGUU